CUUGCUGGAAAUUCAUACCCACACCUGGCUUUCCAAGUGCCUUGGGGACAGAGAAGAGGUGGCCCCCACCAGGGGAGGCUCCACGGCCUCGUGUGUGGGCUGAGAACCAGUGUCCACACUGGCGGGCGUAAGAGGAGGGAGAUACCAGGAAACUCGGCCACAUCUAAUUUGGAGCUGUUGGGAAAGUAUGAAUGAUCAUCUCUGCCUGCAUUAUCUACCUCAGCUAGGACACUGGCAAUUCCAGGAACUGGGGAGAAGGAAAGAUGGAAAAGGGGCAUCGUGAGAUUGUGGACAAACACUCAGACUGACCCGUGACUGCAGAGAUUCUUUACCACCUGAGCCACCAGACGUGAGAAGAACCAUUACUAAUUUCUGUCUCAAAGGAAGAAUGAGAAGUUCACUGGACCCCUGUGAGACCAGGAACAAGAAACAUCAGAACCCCCAGCAUCCUGGAUCUGCUUCUGGCAUUCAUGUUGCAGCUCCCAGUGUCUAAAAGACUACUAUUUUUGAUGCGCAGCUGUUGAGUUGAAACAUCUGAUAGUUUCUCUUCUCCAGGCGGGUUUGGUGCAAGAUACCAGUAAACGAUCAUUUGUUUCAGUUCUUAUAAGCGUCUAGAGACUAGAGAACAGUUCCUCCCACACAAGCUCCUUCUCUUCUGGCUUUCAGCCUAGGGGAUCUUAGACCCCAGAGGAACCAUGCAGAGCUCUGAUCAGGCAGACCUGGGCUUUUAUUCCUCAAUGACUGUGGGGACCCAUCUGGCUUUCAAGGCUGAUCAGCUGGACAACAGGCACAUCCAAGGUUACCCCCAAGGUCACCCCCAUACCUUGGAGUCCACACUAAGUGCUUGCCGUGGCUGAAUGAAGCUCCUUUUGCCUUCUUCCCCGUGGAUUUGGAGACUCACCGCUCUGAUUCACUGGAGCAGUCAUUUGUGUACUCGGAGGCCAUUGGUGAAAUAUCCCUUUCAGUUCAGGGGGAAGAAAGUGGUCAAAACAUUUAACAACUGGUAAGAUUUAACAGGGCAUCUCUGGUGGUUCAGACAGUAGAAGAAUCUGCCUGCAAUACAGGAGACCUGGGUUCGAUCCCUGGGUGGGGAAGACCCUCUGGAGAAAGGAAAGGCUGGCUACCCACUCCAGUAUUCUUGCCUGGAGAAUCCCAUGGACAGAUGGCAGAGGCCAGAGCACUAUCCAGCUGGAUUGGCUACUGGACACAGAGUUUGAGCAAUUUCCUGAAGGAGCCUUGUCAUAGUCUCCAGGGACUCAAGGAAGCAGCUUUUUGCUUGUUGGGGAGGGAGGUAUCUCCACAUCUUAACAAUAGGCAGGUCUGCUGCAGACUGUUUCUAAUGGAGAAUAUCCAGCCUCAAGUCUGACCAAUCACCUUGUUUAUCUAUCCUCAAGGUAUUUAUCAAUCUUGCUCACAUGAUGACCCACAAUUGGAUAAUUCACAAGGUCAGAAAGACAUCCCUCUAUGUCAAUAGCCAGAUGGUCUUUCCCCAUAUCUGGAGAAUUAUUUAAGAUCAUUUACAAAAAUGUAAUCAAAUUGUUAUCAUGUGCAAAUGAGAGAUUAUAAUAACAUAAAUACCAGUUUGAAAAAAAAAAGUGAAAGAAAGUUAAUCGCUCAGUCAUGUCUGACUCUUUGCUACCCC